GACGAACGGUGCGAACGUUGUCCGGAAUCACUGGGCUUAAAGCGCGCGUAGGCGGCUUGCCAAGUCUGGUGUGAAAUCCUCCAGCUCAACUGGAGAAGUGCCUUUGAUACUGUCGAGCUCGAGGGAGGUAGGGGUGUGUGGAACUUCUGGUGGAGCGGUGAAAUGCGUUGAUAUCAGAAGGAACGCCGGUGGCGAAAGCGACGCACUGGACCACUUCUGACGCUGAGGCGCGAAAGCUAGGGGAGCAAACAGG
rnacentral:rRNA from 1 species